rnacentral:tRNA from 1 species
AAUGAAGUGCCUGAGAAAAGGAAUAUCUUGAUAGGAUAUAAAACGUAAAAAAGAUUUACCUUCAUUA